UAGGGAAUCUUCGGCAAUGGACGGAAGCCUGACCGAGCAACGCCGCGUGAGUGAAGAAGGUUUUCGGAUCGUAAAGCCCUGUUGUUAGAGAAGAACGUUGGUAGGAGUGGAAAAUCUACCAAGUGACGGUAACUAACCAGAAAGGGACGGCUAACUACGUGCCAGCAGCCGCGGUAAUACGUAGGUCCCGAGCGUUGUCCGGAUUUAUUGGGCGUAAAGCGAGCGCAGGCGGUUCUUUAAGUCUGAAGUUAAAGGCAGUGGCUUAACCAUUGUACGCUUUGGAAACUGGAGGGCUUGAGUGCAGAAGGGGAGGGUGGAAUUCCAUGUGUAGCAGUGAAAUGCGUAGAUAUAUGGAGGAACACCGGUGGCGAAAGCGGCUCUCUGGUCUGUAACUGACGCUGAGGCUCGAAAGCGUGGGGAGCAAACAGG
rnacentral:rRNA from 1 species